ensembl:lncRNA
CCAGGAUCAUUCGCGUCUAAGGAGACUCAUUGUGUCUCUUCGCUGUGUGAAUAAGACUCAGGCCUUUUAUUUGCAACCCCGUCUCUGACCGGCACUGAGCUCACUCGCGUCGUUCACAUUUCUCAGGCAUGAUUUGUCUGCCGCUCGGUCCUAAGAGACGCGGCCUGGAGCGCUUCUGACAUUCAGCUGCAAUGAAAGCAGCCAAACAACCGUCAAGCUGUUGUUGGCUCUUCGUCUCCAUUAGAUCUGGUUUUUCGUCUCCUCCCAGGAAUGAACAAGGGCCAGAAAGAGAUGCAGCUGUGAAGGGAGGGGACCCUCAAAAACACACAAGCAGUAAUCAGAUUGCCACCAUGGCGUUACCGACAAGCAGGAACGUUCCCCAGCCUGCUGGUGCAUACUUUGCUUUUGUUUACCGCGGCCACAUCAGCUGCACUUCCUCUCCCUCGCUGCAAUAAAUGCCAGCAGUCAGGAAUUCACAGCACCAGCCUCGGUAUUUUCCACCCCCCUGUCAAAAGCCGUAUGCAGCCUCGUGCACCUCCUCGUUGACUCUGCUGCUUUAUCCUUCUUCCUUGACGUGCAUGUGCAGCCCUGACAUCAGCGAAGACAAACACAGAACCGUGUAGCAGCACAGUUGUACGAAAUACUAACGCCACCUUUUAUAUACUGAGCUCAACCUCUUUUACAACAAUGGCAAUUUUUGCAAUAGUCGACCUGAUAAUAUUUAAUAACAUUUUGUUUUGUAGAUGAAAGUUUGAACAAGCAGUAACUAACAAAUUUGAAUUUAUCUUCAAAAACCAAUGGAAUGUUGUUGUUUUUUGUUGCUUCUAUCAGGCCAAAGGAAGACAAAACGAUCCGCUCCUGUCGUCUCAGCCGUCUGUUCUGCCUCUUCCCCAAAGGAAAUUAACUGACAAAUUCCUCCUGACAGACAGCUGUUCCUCCCACAGCGGUUCUUCUUCAUAACCCCGCACCCUCCCCACGACACGCACACACACACACACAGCAAUGAGUUACUGCCUCCCAGGAGAAUAAAUCUGCAAUCAACUGGGCCUAUAAAUAGCUGUGGCACACUUCACUGCUGCUGAGGCCCCCUGCCCUUCCGAAGGAGCUGCUCGCACACACACACACACGCACACACACACACACAGACAGACACACAACCCUCUAACGCACUCUCACACCCUCUUAGGCUCUCCACCCCUAAUCCGAAGCAGGGCACCCAGCCUUUCUUUGCGACUCUGCUUCUCUACCCACCGAUGUUAUGUGCUAAUAUUUCUGCGAGCAAACACAUUAAACAGAGGCUAAUUAAAGUCAUUUGUAGCUCACAUAUCUGCACAUUAGUUCUAAUAGCUCUCAGGCAAUUAAAAGCACAAACCAGCAGCCACAUUAGCCAUUCUGUCUGAAUCGCAAUGCUUGAACCCUUUGAGAGACGCUACGCUAGGCUAGCGCUAGUUAUUGGUAGCCAGGGCUAAUCAGCUCAUUAGUCAGCAGGCUUAACGAGAUGUGUUACUUAAGUAGAUACUGUAUCAGGCGGGGGGGAUGAGAGAGGGAGGGAGGGAGGGAGAAAUAUCAAUCAAUCAAUCUCUCACAGGCGUCCACACAAUCAUUACAUGAAAAAGAACUAGAGAACUAGGUUUUAUAAUGGACACUUUCCAAACCUGUACAUGUGAAGUGUGAAAGACGUUCAUGUUGAAUCAACAGAAAGCUCCACCAGGAGUCAGAAGCAAAAAUAACAAAACACUUGCCAGAUGCAAAAGGCACACGUUUGAGUGGUAAUCAUCAAUAUUUCAUUCGUUUAUCUGAUUCAACAACCUUUUGCACACUGCUGGUGUGUGAUUUGUUUUUCUGAUGGGGAAUGAUAUCCAGGUUUUACACACCUGUCCAGUCCAUCCGUCUCCUUUCGUUCUCCACAGCUUCAUGCACGCAAGGGAUUUCCACCACUAAGGGGAAUUAUUUCUGGGCUUUUAUUAGGACCACGCUGUCGUGGUGCACCUUCCCCUUAAAGACAGUCUGGAGUCACGGCCCUCUUUUGUGUCUCUCAUUUAUUGCCAUUAAAUUGAAUUUAGAUCAGAUUUCCUGAAAAGGGAAUACUUCUCAAAAACAUGUUGUGUGGUUCAAAAUGCUCUGCACAGAGACAAACGCAUGACACUGUUACAAACUGAAAUCAAAACCUUUACCCAAAUUGUAUAUGACAAAAUGUAAAUUUCAAUAUCGGUUAGAGUAAUGUUACUUUCGGUCAUUCCAUACCCCAAGAUUUUCUCUUCCACCGUCUUGCGUAACAAGAUCUAAAAGAGCUGCUAACACAAUGGAAAUGUACUGCUACCACAUAUCAAUGAAACCCAUUCAGUUGUUACUUUCUUGUAAUUGCGCCUCUUGGUUUGUUUAUAUUUCCUGAGCAUGAAGGUAAGACGUGUCAAACAGAUCCCAGAAGAUAAAUGAAUACAUCUGCUGAAUAUUAAAUUAAACGGGAUCUUUGCCAAAAAAUAGGAUGUUACAUUUCUUCGGGUGGUGCAGGAGGAUCAUUUCUGGCCACCGUGACACACAGAGUACUUUCAGACAAAUAGAUGCUCCUUUGCCCUGAAAGUAGUUUGUACCACAUGAGAGGCUUGACAUUUAUCUAUUGAGUCCAGACUUUAAACUAGGGCUCAUGAUUAUAUCAUUAUUAUUAUAUUAGUAUAAGACACUUAACACCCUGUUUAUUAAUGUAAUGUGUAGUUUUCAAAAGAGGUCAGAGUUUAUCAUAUGAGGUUCAGAAACUACAUCCAAAACAAACUAGAAAUGCUUUCAGAAGGUCAGAUUGACUUAUUGAUGAACCGUAGGUAAGAUGAGGGCUCCUUCAUUGAUCGGUUAAGACCGAGCAGAGAUAAUCGUUUAUGUCUGCAGGUGCUUUGUGUGAGCAGGUAGUGAGUGACAUUCUGUGUUGGUGUGUGUGUUUGUUAGUGUGUGUCUGUGGUUACUGCGGAGCUACCAGACCCCUGACCUUUCCAUGUCCUGAUAGCGUCCCUGGGGAGAGAGGGAUAGAGCGAGAGGCUGAGGGAGGGGAGGAGAGAGGAGGGGGGAGGCCUUUGUUUUCUAGCCGCAGCAUUGAUGGAGCCGACAAUCUGUUUUGUGACCCCCAGCUUGGAAUCGUACAUUUAUGACGGACAUAAAACUGAAUAUCGCUGCGGAUUCGCGACCCACAUGUCGGUAUUGUUUCAUAUUUAAUAUUAUUUCGAGUCUCCAAUGUCUUUUGUUCUUUUAUUUAAGACUCGUACCCAAAGUUGAAGCUACCAAACAAAGGCUUGUCUUUCUUUGGGCUCCUCCGUCGGGAGAGGAGAAGCGUCACGUGAUCACACAGUCCAGUGUGUUGAUGCCAGAUUGAAUUGUCGGGAGUGUAAACCGCGCGGCUCACAGACAAGAAGCGCUAGUGUUGCCAGUGUGUUAAUGUCGACGCAGGGAGGGGAGGUUUGUGGUAAGUGUGUGGGGCGGGGGGGGUGUCUGGUGCUUCCGACCCACGAAUCACAUCAGCGCCUCCCUUCCUCCGCGGCCUCGCUUCCCCAUCAGGCUGCCCACCGUCGGCUCAUCCAUCACCAUCGCCCCGCGCGCUGUCCUCUCCCCUCCGUCUUCCGUCGCUCCACCCGGCCAAUUUAGUCCUCACUCAUCUUUCCCCUCUUCUGCAGAGCGCCGUGCUUUUGUCCUCCGUCAGGACCUCUUUCACUCCUUUCACCCCCCCCUCCCCUAAACCUGUUACUCUCUCCACACACACACACACACACACACACACACACACACACACACACACACACAAGCACACACACGCCACACACAUGCUGCCGUUCGGCCAUUUUCCAGGAGUUUCUCUGCAUCCAGAAUUAAAGAGCAUUACUGGCGCAGCAUCCUGGCCUCAACCUAUCAUGUUUGCACCGGUCGUCAUCCGUCCUCCCCCACCAGCACCACCACCCAGUGCCCCGUGGUCCCCAGGCUCUCUUUGCCUCUCAUUAACCCUGUCACGUUUACGGUAUGAAUUAAAUGAUUCCAGUGAUGCAUCCCCACGCAGCGAGGGAGCCACAGCCAGACCCCGACCCCCCCCUCCAGGCCGGAGGGACGGCCCGAGGCGCCGCUCUCCACCCUCAUUAUUACCGGCAUGGUGGUCGCUCGCUGCCACGCUGUUGUUUUAGCGUGUGUGUGUGUGUGUCUAGUGUGCGCCUGUCGUCCUUUGGAUAUUUAGCUUGUUGUCUGAAAGGACAUUGAAACAAGCUAAAUGCUUGUUGUUUUAAUACAUGAAAUGAUGUAAAUGAGUAAAUGUUGCACUGAGUGGAGUUUUUGCUAAAGUAGAUGUUUAAUAUCAUGGUUCCUAAUUCAAGCGAGUUCUGAAAUUAGAUAUAUUUGGGAUCUGUCAGUGUGCAAGAAUUAACGUAGGUCAAUUUAAGCAUUUCUAACAUGGCCAUUAAAAUUUACAGUUUAUUAUGCAAGGCAUAUUUUAUGUCAACUAUUGUCGGAGGAGGAUCAACUGUACUGUAGUGACACUAUUAGUGAGGACGCAGCAGUGAUAGAGGUGAACACUUUAUAGGAAAACUCAUUCAGAUGAUCAACAUUUUGCUAUCUUUGCUUUGAGCUUGUUUAAGUUGAGCAACCAUUUCCAAAUGUUAAGUAAAGUCAUUUCAAUGUCUGAAAUGACAGAAAUGCACAAUAUUUGUUUUGGGUGAAGGUCAGAGACUAAACUUUAACGUUUAGACUUUAGUCAAGAAAGUUCAUGGGGUAGGAAGUCACAUUGAUCACGCAAAGUCAAGAUUAAAUCAAAAUUCAAGUUUGAGUUUGAUUAUCUCAGGCAGUAAUAUGUUAGAUGAGUAUUUAAGUUAAAAGCUGUGACGAACCGUCUCAUAAUUUGAGAAUCAAAUAGUAUUUUCUAUCCUUCAUAAACUUUUAUAGAUUUAUUAUAUUAAUAUUUGUUUAUAUAUACUUGUUUUUUCAUGUUUUGUCACGCCUUCAAAUCAACCUGCCUCUCUGUCGCAUUGACAACGCAAAGGAGUUAAUUAUGUCUACUGCAUUUGACAGAUGGAGCUGCAGUCACUCACCAUGCUACAUAUAUCACAUAGUACAAAAUACACUUUAUCGCACAGAUGUUACAAAAAACUAAACCAAGUCCUGACUGAGCAACGACAACCCAAAAACAUACGGUUACACCAGUCCAAUGUUAUGCGGCGCCUGGUUCUCUCACUAAUUCAGAUGCUCGGUUACAGUGUGUUUUAAAUGUGACUGCUGAACCCGGACAGAAAGCUGUUGGAAAUAGCAAAACCUUUCCUGCAACACUGUUGGCCUUUUUACAACCAAACUGCAAUCGAUCCAAAUAAAAACGCCAGUCGCCUUCUUUUUCAUUAUCUCUCACCCACUGCUGCGGUGUGUAUGUGCGUGUGUGUGUCUGUGUUUAUGUGUAAGUGCAGUCAAAUGUGACUCAUGCCUCCUUAGGAAAGCAGCGCCUUGACACGUGUUUGGGUAAUGGCGCUAAUAUGCUCAUGAAUCCAAAUAAGCCCGGGAGUGUCAAAUAAAAGAGAGGGAGGGGUGUGUGUGUGUGUGCGUGUGCAUGCAUGCGUGUGUGCGUGCAUGCGUGCAUGCAUGUGUAUUCUUAAAGUUGCUGCCAACAGUCCAACGAGGCGUAUCAAUGGAAUCACGGUGUCUUUCCGUGGCUUUAAAGCGAACACAUACACCACCACCGUGAUGUCCCUGAUAAGACACUGUUGUUUGCUCGUGCGCGUCUGCGUGUGUGCGCGCGCACUGAAGGACGUGUCACCUACACUCAUUGAGACAGCUCGGUGCUGUUAACCUGUGUGUCCUCCUCAUUACGGCCCACGUCCGUGUUGCCAUGGACAUUAUGAGCGGAGGAAGAUAAAACAGGAGGAGGGAUUUGCAUGGCGAGGCCCCCUCCCCUCCUGCCUCCCCUCGUCUUUCUCGCUGAAAGCAGAGUGGCUCGCCACGCACACGCACGCAC